rnacentral:misc_RNA from 1 species
UGAAAAUAAAUACGGCUGUUCUAAUGGGACAAGCGAGGGUGCUAAUUGUUGCAAUUGAGUCCUUUCGAACGCAGAUGAGUCUAAUCGAUUAUUUUUGCUCCUUACAGCACAUUUAUCUCGUUAUCCGAGGAAGAACUCCCACAAGCUGUCAGUGUAAACGUCUAUUUUGCGUCAUUGCGUCUAUUCCGAUAUCGAUAGCAAGGAUUUGCUACUUCCAAGCAAUACAAUUUUACUCUUAAAAUUUCGCUCGCCAUGAUUGCUUGUAAGCAAUCACGGUAUGCUAGGAAUUGGUGUGGAGUUUUCCUUUCAUGCGUCGAAUUUUCGUGGCUGCCUUGCCUGUUGUCCAUACCCUUUUAUACCUUGCCGGCAGCACGUUUUCUAGCAACAUGUAGCAGAGCAACAUUUUUAAGCACCUGCAACAUUUUAAGAGUUGGGGCUUUUGGCACUUUGUCCAAACGCCAAGGCCCCAAAACUGCCCGAACCCGCAACACCGUAAGCUCGGUACCGCCGCUCCGCGUCGCAACGUUUUUUGCACGAGUUUUUUCACGUAUUUGUUCAUUGACAAAAACUCAAGCUGCGCUUGUGUGAGAGUGUGUGUGUGUGUGUGUGUGUGUGUUGUGUGGCGCGCGUUUGUGUAGCCGUACCACUAUCUCUGUGUGUGUGAGUGGGGCUUGGUGUGCAGAAUAAUUUUUGCAAACAUUAUGUAAAUGCGCAAAUUAAAGUUCAAUCGACACUCAGCUCAGCAAUCCGGUCGAGAGGUCAAUUUCAAAUUCGAGUCCAGAUUACCUGGCGUUACAUGCUAAAAAAUUACAGUUAACAACAAAUAAACACAAGCCAACAGGGGGGGCGCUGCGAAGGAACAGUACGAGAUCCAGAGAAAUACCGUUAGUCUAAAAAACAAAUAUGGCCACGACAGCGGCCGCCAUUGCCGCCACCAGUGUCGUCGUUUUGGAUCGCGGCAAUAACACGACCUGCACCAUCAACUUGCAUGGUGCCACAGUUGUCUCCUGGCGAGUGAACAACCAGGAGCAGUUGUUUGUUAGUAAGCUAGCCUCGUUCGACGGCAAGAAGGCGAUACGUGGCGGGAUUCCCUUUGUCUUUCCCCAGUUUGGUGCUUGGUCCUUUGGGCCGCAACAUGGAUUCGCCAGAAUCACGCGAUGGCAUCUGGAGAGGGCGCCGGAUAGGCUGCACAACGGCGACGUCGAGGCCAUAUUCUCGCUGAUGGACAACGAGUUCACGCGCUCCAUCUGGAACUAUCAGUUUCGCAUCACAUACCGCCUCAUUCUGCGCGAGAAGGAGCUCCACUUCCACAUUGGCGUCUACAACCCGAGCAAGGAGCUGAGCUUCUCCUUCAACAUGCUGCUGCACACUUACUUGAAGGUGCCCGAUGUGCGCCGCUGCCAGAUCACGGGCCUGCACGGCUGCCACUUUAUCGACAAGACGCGAGAGAACGCCUUGUACCAGGAAGGUCGCGAGGUCGUCACUGUCAACGAGUGGACCGAUCGAAUCUACCAGCACACGCCGCAGGAGCACGUCAUCACCAACGUGGUCUCCGGCCGCAAGAUGAGACUGCACAAGUACAAUUUCCCCGACACGGUCAUCUGGAAUCCCUGGAUUGACCGAUCGCGCGAGAUGAGCGACUUUGGCGAUGACGAGUUCCCCAACAUGCUCUGCGUGGAGGCAGGCAAUGUAACCUCUCCCGUGAUCCUGCUGCCGGGAACAGCUUUCGAAGCCAGCCAGAUCCUUCAGCAAUUCAAGUGUCCCUAUGAUAUAAUUAAUGCACCCAAGAAAUCCAAAAAGAAGUCCAAGUCCCGCUCAUAGCCAGUCACCGUACUUGCCUCCACCUCCUUAUGACAAACGAAAUUAUUUACUUUGCUUGCGCAGAUCAUCAUCGAAGGGAACGUCAGUCGCAAAACCAAAAGGAAUCGCUAGCGUUUAAAGAAUCGGAACCCCAUGAGGUGGAGUACAAGGAAGUAGAAGCAGGAGCUGAAGGAGGCAGACGCAGCGGGAGACACAGAACACAGUUUGGUUGUUCCCGCAUGGAAUUUAGAAUCUAACCUAUGUCUUAAGUAAUCGUAAAUCCUUCACUAGCAAUAUGUGUUGUGCAAAGAAAUCGAAAGGAAAGUAAUUCUUACCCGUAGCUUAAUCGUAGUUUUUACAUCCUUACUUGCCUACUUGGAACUGACUUCACAUCUUUCGUAAAUGGGAAGCCUCAAGGAGAUUCUGUAUUCCCAGCUCUAAAAUAAAUGUACAUUCCUUUGGCUAUGCUGGGCGUCGCCUUAUAUGUUUUUAGCCUGAGAUAUUUUGCGUCCUGUAAAUGUAUACCUUUGAACUAAACUAAAAGGUUAUUCUAUGCUUUAGGGAAUUAUACAAGAUAUAAGUUGUAGGCGAUGAUUCAGUUCACCCUCGUAUAGUUGAUGGUACAUAUAUUCUUGCCACGGUUACGGCACGAGUAAAUGGGAUAUGGAUAGUUGGGUUUCAUAAAUUUCAUAAGAAAUGACUUAAGAACGUCUAUUAUUCUCCAAUUGUAUUCUGAUAUGGCUUCACGCUCUCCGAAAGCCCCACUAAUUAGGAAAUUGCAUUAACUAAAGUUAAACUAAUGUGUCGGCUUCCACUUGAUAAACUUGUAUACGGUUGAAUAUAGAUAACGUACUUUUAUUUUUAAGUUCAAUCUGUGUAAAAUACUAAUAGCAAUUAUCUAUGCCAAUUUAUAAAAUAAACCAACUAUAAAUUUAUGUAUGUA